GAACAGCUAUAUUUGCAUUUAAUACAGUCUCAACGUCAUUAUUUAUGACUGGAGGAAAGUUACAACAACUAUUUUUUGAGAAUUUAUUGUGUUCAAAAGAUUUUCACUCCUUCUCUCUCUCUAGAACUUAAGCUACCAUAAUUGAUUCUUGAGACCUUGCUUGUUUAAGCUGUAAUUUUGAGUUUAGAAAGUUUGUUCAAAGUUAUUGAGAGCAUUUAUUAUAACAUGAGUGUGAUAAAGCAUUAAAUUGAUCUUGGGAGAAAAAGGAAUUGUAAAAGAAAAGAGUUCGCUCUUGUGAUUUUGUAAGAAAUUUAUUCUUUACCCAAAGAAGAAUUAUAGUGGAGUUAACUCUCAAGAAAAGCAUUGAAGAGAGGACGCAGGCUUGGGAUAGCUGACCCUCUAUAAAUCUCUCGUGUUCUUUCUUCUUUUCCUUUUCCUUGUGUAUACCUCUUAGCCUUCAAAGUUUUAAUUAACACCUAAUUCAUCCUCCUCCCCCCCUUUUGGGUUGCUACAAGGGAUAAUAUAGUAUUUUCCCAUUGAGCGUAUGUUUUUAUUAAAUACCAUACAGAUAAUAGUUCAAACACCCUAAUGCCUAACUUUAAGUUCACUUGUCUAAUCUUUCACAACAGAACUCAUAUCUGGUGUUUAAGAUAAAUAAUGUGACUUAAAUCACAUAUGGUCAAUGCAAUUACUUAACUUACAAUGGCCCUAGUUCUUUAUCUCUGUUCCGAAGUGACAUUUCAUGUUAUAACUUUUCAGCUCUUUAUUAUUACCACAUAAUAAUAAUAAGCU
rnacentral:misc_RNA from 1 species